AUUGAACGCUGGCGGCAGGCCUAACACAUGCAAGUCGAGCGAGCGGCGGACGGGUGAGUAAUGUCUGGGAAACUGCCUGAUGGAGGGGGGUAACUACUGGAAACGGUGGCUAAUACCGCAUACCAUCAGAUGUGCCCAGAUGGGAUUAGCUAGUAGGUGGGGUAACGGCUCACCUAGGCGACGAUACCUAGCUGGUCUGCGAGGAUGACCAGCAACACUGGAACUGAGACACGGCCCAGACUCCUACGGGAGGAAGCAGUGGGGAAUAUUGCAAAAUGGGCGAAAGCCUGAGGCAGCCAGGCCGCGUGUGUGAAGAAGGCCUUCGGGUUGUAAAGCACUUUCAGCGGGGAGGCGUUACCCGAAGAAGAAGCACCGGCUAACUCCGUGCCAGCAGCCGCGGUAAUUC
rnacentral:rRNA from 1 species